rnacentral:rRNA from 1 species
UACGUAGGCAGCGAGCGUUGUUCGGAAUUACUGGGCGUAAAGCGUGUGUAGGCGGUGCUCUAAGUCUGUUGUGAAAUCUCCCGGCUCAACUGGGAGGGUGCGGCGGAAACUGGAGUGCUCGAGUGUGGGAGAGGUAAGCGGAAUUCCUGGUGUAGCGGUGAAAUGCGUAGAUAUCAGGAGGAACACCUGAGGCGAAGGCGGGCUACUGGGCCGAUACUGACGCUGAGGCGCGAAAGCCAGGGGAGCAAACAGG